rnacentral:lncRNA from 10 species
GAGGACUGCAUCAUCACUGCCUGCCAGGAGGGCCUCAUCUGCACCUGGGCCCGGCCGGGCAAGGCGUUCACAGACGAGGAGACCGAGGCCCAGACAGGGGAAGGAAGUUGGCCCAGGUCACCCAGCAAGUCAGUGGUAGAGGUAGGACUGUCCCUGAGUUCUUUCCCCAGCACCUCAGGGUCCCUCCCAAGUUAGAAGGGAGCUCCAGUUUCCCCCUCCCCUCCCACCCUUACCCUUACCCCAUGGUCUCACUCAGGAUCCGCCAAGGACUUUGAUUAUUGCGUGAAAGUGCUGACUGCCAGGACAGGAAGCUAGCUAAGAUGCAAGUUCCCAGCCUAGAGCAGUGGCCUCUGGGGGGUCUAGGGCGGACCCAAGGGCAAGGCCAGGGUGGCAGCAGCUUUGGGGACUCUGGGCUGGCUCCCUCCCCUUGACACUGGCUGAAGCCCAGGUGGUCUCUAACCCCUCCCAUCUCUCCCUCUCAUCUUCCCCAGGGCAUCUCCUCCCAACCAGGCAACUCCCCGAGUGGCACAGUGGUGUGAAGCCAUGGAUAUCGGGCCCCCCCAACCCCAUGCCCCCAGCCUCCUAGCCAUAACCCUCCCUGCUGACCUCACAGAUCAACGUAUUAACAAGACUAACCAUGAUGGAUGGACUGCUCCAGUCCCCCCACCUGCACAAAAUUUGGGGGCCCCCCAGACUGGCCCGGACACGGGCGAUGUAAUAGCCCUUGUGGCCUCAGCCUUGUCCCCCACCCACUGCCAAGUACAAUGACCUCUUCCUCUGAAACAUCAGUGUUACCCUCAUCCCUGUCCCCAGCAUGUGACUGGUCACUCCUGGGGAGAGACU